rnacentral:rRNA from 1 species
CUGGGUUCAGAACGUCGUGAGACAGUUCGGUCUGUAUCCGUCGUGGGCGUUGGAAGAUUGAUGGACGCCGUCCCUAGUACGAGAGGACCGGGACGGACCAACCUCUGGUGUGCCGGUUGUCGCGCCCGCGGCAGCGCCGGGUAGCUAUGUUGGGAAGGGAUAACCGCUGAACGCAUCUAAGUGGGAAGCCCCUCCAAAGAUGAAUCUUCCCGGGGGUUCGACCCCCCUGAAGGGCCUUGGGA